GCACACAGCCGAAGCAUGCAUACAGAAAGCCCCUCUCUCAGACAGCAUGCCUGCACGAUGUUUAAUAACAUUACUAAGUGCAAAAAGCAGUGGAAAAUUACUGUGCCAUACUUAGGAUAUUUUGGCUUCAUUACAGUCUAUGGGGAAGAAGUGGAGACGCGUCGUCGAUCUUUAUAUACAGUCUAUGGUCGCAAUGCAUUUGUCUGUUUUAAUACACAUUGCCAUAUAAGUGUGCCUUGGAUCGUUUUUGAAUGAGACUUAUGGAAUAAGCACAGCGUACCUGAAGUAUCCAAAGACUGCCUGAAUGUAAUUACCAUAAAGACUCAGCAGCGUUUCUACUCCAUUAUCUCCAGGUAUUUUUUCACACUUCACUUGUCUGACCGAUGUCUCCAUCCUCAAGAAGAUUUGAGAGGCCCUGGAUAACAAAGGCAACACAAUCCUGAAGUUCUUCCAAGAUGGGGGGUGCAAGAUGUUUUGGCUUGUUUUGAACCUGAGGCUUCAAACAAGCCUGCAUGCAUUCUUCUCCUCCUGAUGGCAUACUUCAAAGAGCCGAAGGAUGCCAUUGUGCUUGAAGUUGAUUUGACACAAUGAAGUCGAAGGGAUGGAUGCUGUCGUUGGAGGGUCGAGUGGUCAUGGGACCUCACCAGGACUGCACAACUGGUCUGGCUGCCGUUUUUGCCAGCUACUACAAUUCUAAUCUGAAGUGCUUCUUGGGCAUAAAUCCAGAGGCAAGCACAACGUCAAAGAGGCAGAGAGGACAUAUUAACCAGCAAGUCUGUACGCUGAUCAGAAAAAUAAUUGACUUUGAGUGGAUGACAGUCUAGUAUGCAAGCAGUGUUCCAAUGCCAGA